AAAAAAUAGAUCAUAAAGCUUCUUCAGGAAGCUGGUUUCAUAUGGUGGUUUAGAUUUAAAUAGUGAUUGUCUAGCACCAUUUGAAAUCAGUGUUCUUGGGGGAGACCAGCUGCGCUGCACUACC
rnacentral:precursor_RNA from 1 species